UACGGGAGGCAGCAGUGGGGAAUAUUGGACAAUGGGCGAAAGCCUGGAUCCAGCCAUGCCGCGUGUGUGAAGAAGGUCUUCGGAUUGUAAAGCACUAUAAGUUGGGAGGAAGGGAAGUAGAUUAAUACUCUGCAAUUUUGACGUUACCGACAGAAUAAGCACCGGCUAACUCUGUGCCAGCAGCCGCGGU
rnacentral:rRNA from 1 species